rnacentral:lncRNA from 1 species
CAAAUAUUUACUUCAAAGCUUCCUAGAGUUAACGGCUAUGGAUGGUGAAGGCCCAGGCUGGUCCUCCUGGGAGCCUGAGAGCCUGGCGGCUAGCCCUUCCCUCUGCAUCCCUCAGAGCUGCACUUUUGCUCCCUCCCUUCUCUGCCCUACAGGUGAGUUGAAGGAAAGGGAAGAUGGAAGAGGCUAGUCUCUGCCAGCGGCAUGUGCUCUUUCGAGUUGUUCUGUUGUGGGGUGCUCUGUGAAUUUCCUGAGAAGUUGUAAGGAAAGCAUCUGCCUCAGAAUUAAGAGGAAGCUGGCAGACCCGAGAAUGACACAGACAAGUCCAGCAUGGAACACCACGAACCUCAGCGAGCACCUUCAAGUGAUAGUAAUAGAUGACCUCAUUUUCGUGCAGCCUGGCAUACAGCCUCAGCACCUGGCUAGCACCUGCAGGACAGCUGAACAGCAGACAGCUGCAAUAUGGUGAUGCUCUGUCUGUGGUUGGAGGACUAAUCUCUCUACAAAGGGG